rnacentral:rRNA from 1 species
CGCGUGAGGGAUGACGGGCUUCGGGUUGUAAACCUCUUUCAGUAAGGAAGAAGCGAGAGUGACGGUACCUGCAGAAGAAGCGCCGGCUAACUACGUGCCAGCAGCCGCGGUAAUACGUAGGGCGCAAGCGUUGUCCGGAAUUAUUGGGCGUAAAGAGCUCGUAGGCGGUUUGUCGCGUCUGCUGUGAAAGCCCGGGGCUCAACCCCGGGUCUGCAGUGGGUACGGGCAGACUAGAGUGCAGUAGGGGAGACUGGAAUUCCUGGUGUAGCGGUGAAAUGCGCAGAUAUCAGGAGGAACACCGAUGGCGAAGGCAGGUCUCUGGGCUGUUACUGACGCUGAGGAGCGAAAGCAUGGGGAGCGAACAGGAUUAGAUACCCUGGUAGUCCAUGCCGUAAACGUUGGGCACUAGGUGUGGGGGACAUUCCACGUUUUCCGCGCCGUAGCUAACGCAUUAAGUGCCCCGCCUGGGGAGUACGGCCGCAAGGCUAAAACUCAAAGGAAUUGACGGGGGCCCGCACAAGCGGCGGAGCAUGCGGAUUAAUUCGAUGCAACGCGAAGAACCUUACCAAGGGCUUGACAUUCACCGGACCGCCCCAGAGAUGGGGUUUCCCUUCGGGGCUGGUGGACAGGUGGUGCAUGGAUGUCGUCAGCUCGUGUCGUGAGAUGUUGGGUUAAGUCCCGCAACGAGCGCAACCCUCGGUUCUAUGUUGCCAGCACGUGAUGGU